rnacentral:lncRNA from 1 species
AAAAAAAAAAAAAAGUGCUAUAUAUAACAUUAUACUGUACCACACCGCACCACAUUUGUUUAUUUCAUUUAUUUGUCAUUAAUAAUGUUUGGAAAAAGAAUACACGACACACCCAACAUGAUAAUGACACCAGAAGUAUAUGAAGAAGAAGACAAAAAAAUAAAACAUGGUAAAAAACUUGUUAUUGAAAAUUGUGGAAAAUAUAUGAACAAGGAUAAAAAUGCAGGUGUUGUAUGUAAUAGAAUUAGUGAAUUAAAUUUAAACUCAAGAAAAAAUAUAUCGUUUGUAAAAACUGAUAGUUCUCAAAUGAAAGAUGUUUUAAAUCAUGCAGAGCAUAUAGAAUUAGAAAACAUACCUUCAAAAAGACCUUUAGUUUCUUACUCAAAAUAUGAUGACCAACAAAAAUAUUUUGAAACUAAGAUAAUACCAAAUGAAGAAGGAAAAAUGAGUAUAUAUGUAAAAAGAAAAGAUGGAAGUGCAACUGUUAAUAUUAAUAUAGACGAAUAUGAUCUGGAAAAAACAUAUCAUACAUGGAAAAGAAUUUUGGGUAAAACAUGUCCUCAUAUUAAAUCAAAUUUAGAGUUUGAUAGAUUCUUAACAGUAAAUGAAAAUGCUGAAAGAAGUGAUAAAAUGCCUAUCAUAAUUAAUCGAGGUAUACCACAUGCCAAUCCAGAUGGACCUUUUGAAAAAGAAAGGCUGGAUCAACCUAAACAAGCAAGAGAUCAUUUAGAUAGAACCCUGACACCUAUAAAUGAUAUUAAACCUAAAAUCUGUUUAAAAUUAAAUAAUGAUAAAUAUAAACAAUCAAAUAUAUUUCCAAAUUAUUAUCAACAACCUAACAAUAAUACUACUAGUAUGUUUAAUGAUAAUAGUAACUAUAGUGACAAUGAUAAUACGAAUUCAAAAAAUAAAAAAUUGGAAAGAACAGCUAACUAUUUAUGGAUGAACUCGAAUAGAAUUAAAAAUAUAUUAGCUCAUAAUUAUGAUGAUGAAGUUGAAGAAAAGUAUAAAAAUAGUCAUACUAAUUUUAAAGGAAAAUUAGAUAGUCAAAUAAAUAAUAAUCAACAAGGUGAUCGAAAUAUCAACAUUCAACCUCUUAUAACUGGUAAAAUUGGGGAAUUUAAUAUAUCUCAACAAGCUCCUACUGAAAUAAAUUAUAACACAUGUAAUGACUUACAUAGGGAACAAACUUGUCCAAGUAAUAGCAAUUUUUUACAUAAUAAUAACUAUCAUACAAAGUCUUACAAAAAUAAUGAGGAAUGUAAAAAUGUUGAUUAUUUAAAACCUGAACAAAAUUCUAUUUGUUCAUGUAGUAAUAAUAAUAAUAAUAAUAAUUGUAGUAGUAGUAGUAGUAAUAAUAAUAAUAAUAAUAAUAAUAAUAAUAAUAAUAAUAAUAAUAGUAGUAAUAGUAGUAACGAGAAAAAAAAUAAUUAUGAACAACAAAAUGGACCAUAUACACAACAUACAAAUAAUACUUAUUAUCAAACAUGUGAUAGACUGAUGUCACAAUAUGGGCAUGAGCAUGAACAUACACAUUAGAAAAAUUGUUUAUCUCAUUUUUAAUACAAAUAAAUGAUAGUAAUGUAAAAAAAAAAGAAAAAAA